rnacentral:rRNA from 1 species
GAUGAACGCUGGCGGCGUGCCUAAUACAUGCAAGUCGAGCGAACAGACGAGGAGCUUGCUCCUCUGACGUUAGCGGCGGACGGGCGAGUAACACGUGGAUAACCUACCUAUAAGACUGGGAUAACUUCGGGAAACCGGAGCUAAUACCGGAUAAUAUAUUGAACCGCAUGGUUCAAUAGUGAAAGACGGUUUUGCUGUCACUUAUAGAUGGAUCCGCGCCGCAUUAGCUAGUUGGUAAGGUAACGGCUUACCAAGGCAACGAUGCGUAGCCGACCUGAGAGGGUGAUCGGCCACACUGGAACUGAGACACGGUCCAGACUCCUACGGGAGGCAGCAGUAGGGAAUCUUCCGCAAUGGGCGAAAGCCUGACGGAGCAACGCCGCGUGAGUGAUGAAGGUCUUCGGAUCGUAAAACUCUGUUAUUAGGGAAGAACAAAUGUGUAAGUAACUAUGCACGUCUUGACGGUACCUAAUCAGAAAGCCCCGGCUAGCUACGUG